GUUUUCUGCUCGCUUCAGCAGUACAUAUACUAAAAUUGGAACCAUACGGAGAUUAGCAUGGUCCCUGUGCAAGGAUGACGCGGAAAUUCAUGAAGUGGCCCAUACUUUC
rfam:Chlorocebus sabaeus isolate 1994-021 chromosome 20, whole genome shotgun sequence.